UACGUAGGCAGCGAGCGUUGUUCGGGGUUACUGGGCGUAAAGAGUGCGUAGGCGGUUUUCUAAGUUUGGUGUGAAAUCUCCCGGCUUAACUGGGAGGGUGCGCCGAAGACUGGAAGGCUAGAGUAUGGGAGAGGUAAGCGGAAUUCCUGGUGUAGCGGUGAAAUGCGUAGAUAUCAGGAGGAACACCUGCGGUGUAGACGGCUUACUGGACCAUAACUGACGCUGAGGCACGAAAGCGUGGGUAGCAAACAGG
rnacentral:rRNA from 1 species